rnacentral:rRNA from 1 species
UGGGGAAUUUUGCACAAUGGGGGAAACCCUGAUGCAGCGACGCCGCGUGAUUUAGAAGGCCUUAGGGUUGUAAAAAUCUUUUCUAUGGGAAGAAAAUGACAGUACCAUAGGAAUAAGGACCGGCUAAUUACGUGCCAGCAGCCGCGGUAAUACGUAAGGUCCGAGCGUUGUCCGGAAUCAUUGGGCGUAAAGGGUACGUAGGCGGGUAAGCAAGUUAGAAGUGAAAUCCUAUAGCUCAACUAUAGUAAGCUUUUAAAACUGCUCAUCUUGAGGUAUGGAAGGGAAAGUGGAAUUCCUAGUGUAGCGGUGAAAUGCGCAGAUAUUAGGAGGAAUACCGGUGGCGAAGGCGACUUUCUGGCCAUAACCUGACGCUGAGGUACGAAAGCGUGGGUAGCAAACAGG